rnacentral:lncRNA from 1 species
AGGCUGGCUUUCUCCUUCUCCUUAGCUCUGGAUCUUUCCCUGGAUCCCCUGACCCCGUGACAUCUUCUGAGGCAAGGAGCCCAUUGGAGGUUGAAAUAGGAUCUGGAUAAAUGUCCUGGCUGCUGACAUCACGCCCCUACAGCCUCCCUUCUGUGGCAUAAUGACCCAAGCACCACCUAUGGGAAUCAAGUGACUGAGAGAAUUUCAGCUCCUCUUAGAAAACAUACAUAAGCCCUGUAGAAUGGAAGAGGAACUCUGAAACAGGAACCUAAACAUUCAUGCCAGAAGGAAGUUCAUCAGAAAAAUAAAUAAAUUGAAAAUACUUUCAUAUCAGGUGGAGCCACAUCAUUUGAGAAAAAUGUACUUAAUUAUCUACUGGAACUGCAAGUGAGCUAAAAAUCUGUUAUUCACUGACUUUGUGUGCA